rnacentral:rRNA from 1 species
GACGAACGCUGGCGGCGUGCUUAACACAUGCAAGUCGAACGGAAAGGCCCUGCUUUUGUGGGGUGCUCGAGUGGCGAACGGGUGAGUAACACGUGAGUAACCUGCCCUUGACUUUGGGAUAACUUCAGGAAACUGGGGCUAAUACCGGAUAGGAGCUCCUGCUGCAUGGUGGGGGUUGGAAAGUUUCGGCGGUUGGGGAUGGACUCGCGGCUUAUCAGCUUGUUGGUGGGGUAGUGGCUUACCAAGGCUUCGACGGGUAGCCGGCCUGGGAGGGUGACCGGCCACAUUGGGACUGAGAUACGGCGCAGACUGCUACGGGAGGCAGCAGUGGGGAAUAUUGCAGAAUGGGCGGAAGCCUGAUGCAGCAACGCCGCGUGCGGGAUGACGGCCUUCGGGUUGUAAACCGCUUUCGCCGGUGACGAAGCGUGAGUGACGGUAAUGGGUAAAGAAGCACCGGCUAACUACGUG